rnacentral:lncRNA from 1 species
CCCCUGGGGGUCCCCGCAGUCUCCUGGGGGUCCCCGCAGUCCCCUGGGUGCUGUUGAGGUGUCCCCGUGGUCCCCAGGGUGCUGCUGAGGUCUCUCUGUGGUCUUCAGGGUGCCAGGGAGGUGUCCCCAAUGUCCCUUGGGUGCUGGGGACAUGUCCCCAAGGUCCCCUGGCUGUGCCCACAGAUCCCUGGGUGCUGUUGAGGUGUCCCCAAGGUCCCCAGGGUGCCCGAACGGUUUCCUCAAGGUCCCCUGGGUGCUGGGGACAUGUCCCCAAGGUCCCCUGGGUGUCCCCACAGAUCCCUGGGUGCUGGGGACGUGUCCCCAAGGUCCCCAGGGUGCUGAGGACAUGUCCCCAAGGCCCCCUGGGUGUCCCCACAGAUCCCUGGGUGCUGUUGAGGUGUCCCCAAGGUCCCCAGGGUGCCAGGAGGGUGUCCCCAAGGUCCCUUGGGUGCUGGGGACAUGUCCCCAAGGUCUCCUGGGUGUCUCUGUAGUCUCCUGGGUGCUGCUGAGGUGUCCCCAAGGUGCCAGAGAGGUGUCCCCAGGGUGCUGUUGAGGUGUCCCUGUGGUCCCCAGGGUGCUGAGGACAUGUCCCCAAGGUCCCCUGGAUGCCAGGGAGGUGUCCCCAAUGUCUCUUGGGUGCUGGGGACAUGUCCCCAGGGUCCCCUCAGUGCUGUUGAGGUGUCCCUGUGGUCCUCAGGGUGCCAGGGAGGCAUCCCCAAUGUCCCUUGGGUGCUGCAGACAUGUCCCCAAGGUGCCAGAGAGGUGUCCCCAGGGUGCUGUUGAGGUGUCCCUGUGGUCCCCAGGGCACUGAGGACAUGUCCCCAAGGUCCCCUGGGUGCCAGGGAGGUGUCCCCAAGGUCCUCAGGUUGUCCCUACAGUCCCCUGGGUGCUGCUGAGGUGUCCCCAAGGUCCUCAGGGUGUCAGGGAGGUGUCCCUAAUGUCCCUUGGGUGCUGAGGACGUGUCCCCAGGGUGCUGAGGACGUGUCCCCAAGGUCCCCAGGGUGCUGUUGAGGCGUCCCCAAUGUCCCCAGGGUGC